GUGGUGGGUUUGGAAAAGGUGGAGGUGUUGGAGGAGGAAUAGGAGGUGGUUCUGGCGGUGGCUUUGGGGGAGGAGGUGGCAGCGGAGGUGGGUUUGGUGGUGGGGGUGGGUUUGGAGGCGGUGGAGGCGGUGGAAUCGGACACCACUAAACUUUAUACGUUGCAUGCAUGCAAUCUCAUAUAAAGAAAAAAAAGAGAGACCUCUAUAAAAAUAUAUUAACUAUGCAAUUUGUCUAGUAUUUUUAUUGUAUCGUCAUCAUAAUAAUUGAUUUCUUAAUUACUAAACGUUGUUACUCCGUUCAUGUGUUUUAUUUAUUAUACUUAAUUUCUACCAAGGAUUUUGCACGCCUUUAUGCUCUUGCUUUCUCUUUAACUCGAAUCUGAACUUAUAAAUUAUAAUUCUGAGCUACGGCUAAGC
rnacentral:lncRNA from 1 species